AGAAGAUUUGAUGUGAGAAUCAUUCAAAAGCAAAUAAAAUAGGAAAAAGCUGAUGAAUAGCAAACAGGUGACAUAGACCUAUAUGAAGCUUUGGCAGUUCAAAGGGUCAGAGAGACCCCUCAAAGAAAGAUACUGGCCUUGUUGAACAGCUGGACUGACAGGCCCAAGUGAAUGAACACCCAUGCCCCUGGAAACUGCAUCAGAGGAGAAAACAGAGAAACUUCCUUUGAGCCUGACUGGGUAUUCAGUGACCAUCAGAUCAUUUCAUUUGGAUUGUUGCUGAGGAAUUGUUGCAACCUAUGGACUACAAGUAUAUUUCCCUUCACCUGUGAGUUCAUGUGUGUUUGGUAUCUGGGUCUCACCAAGGAGAAUGCACAGGAGACAGGAUUUUUUUUUUUUUUAAAGUAGAGUAACUUUUGCACGUCUUUUCUUUUGCUCUAUCCACAAAUGUUGAAGAAGUCCUAGAGGUUUAGAAUGAAAACAGCCUGAGUCAUCCACUACCAAAACACCCUCUAAGGUUGUUAAAUUGAUAAGAAAGGAACUUCCAUGCUUUAGGCUACUGAAAUUGUGUUGAUUUAUUACAACAACUGCCAUAGUUACCUUAACUGGUAAAUUCACAGAUUUGUUGGAAUCCUGACCAAACUGGAAAAGUGGCAGUAACCAUGGAAAAGUCAAAGACAAAAUGACAGCCAAAUCACACCAGUAAAUAAGUGGAGUGAAGACACGUCUAUUUUCACAGCUGAACACUGGAAAUUGCAAAUUUGAUUGCCACUGGCAUUGGAUGCUGGAACUGCUUCUGUUUUUACUGACACUAGCAUACCGGGAUACUUCGAAGUUGCUGUAGUCUCUGCAAUAUUGAGUGUUGGAAGGUGCUAGAAAAUGAGUGUCUGUCUUUUUUGUCUUUUGUACUGGAAGGCA
rnacentral:lncRNA from 1 species